UACAGAGGGUGCGAGCGUUGUCCGGAAUCACUGGGCGUAAAGUGCGCGUAGGCGGCGCGGUAAGUGUGCGGUGAAAGCCCGGGGCUCAACCCCGGGUCGGCCGUGCGGACUGCCGGGCUGGAGCACUGUAGAGGCAGGUGGAAUUCCGGGUGUAGCGGUGGAAUGCGUAGAGAUCCGGAAGAACACCGAUAGUGAAGACAGCUAACUAAGCUUUAACUGACGCUGAGGCACGAAAGUGUGGGGAUCAAACAGG
rnacentral:rRNA from 1 species